rnacentral:snRNA from 1 species
AUACCUACCUGGCAGGGGAGACACCAUGAUCAGACAGGUGGUUUUCCCAGGGCAAGGUUCAUCCCCUGCACUCCGGGUCUGCUGACUCCUAUGAUUUCCCCAAAUGAAGGAAACUACAGAAGCAUAUCUUGGAAAGACUGUUACUAAUGCUGUAGUAACUGU